CUUCUACAAGUAACUGCGAGUGAAGCGGGAAAAGCUCAAAUUUGAAAUCUGGCAGUACUGUCCGAAUUGUAAUCUAGAGAAGUGUUACCUAUAUAGGACCAUGUACAAGUCUCCUGGAAUGGAGUAUCAUAGAGGGUGAGAAUCCCGUCUUUGACAUGGACUACCUGUAUAUUAUGGUGCGCUCUCAAAGAGUCGAGUUGUUUGGGAAUGCAGCUCAAAAUGGGUGGUAAAUGCCAUCUAAAGCUAAAUAUUGGCAAGAGACCGAUAGUGAACAAGUACCGUGAGGGAAAGAUGAAAAGAACUUUGGAAAGAGAGUUAAACAGUACGUGAAAUUGCUGAAAGGGAAACGCUUGAAGUCAGUCGCAUUAGCCAGAAAUCAACCUUGCUUUUGCUUGGUGUACUUUCUAGUUGAUGGGUCAGCAUCAAUUUUGAUCACUGGAUAAAGUCUUUGGGAAUGUGGCAUCUUUGGAUGUGUUAUAGCCUAUUGUCGUAUACAGUGAUUGGGAUUGAGGAAUUCAGCAUGCCACAAGGCCGGGUUUUAAUCACGUUCAUGCUUAGGAUGCUGGCAUAAUGGCUUUAAUCGACCCGUCUUGAAACACGGACCAAGGAGUCUAACAUACAUGCAAGUGUUUGGGUAGAAAACCCAUAUGCACAAUGAAAGUGAAGUUAAGAUCUCUUCGGAGAGCAUUGACGCCCAGACCAGACCUUUUGUGACGGAUCUGCGGUAGAGCAUGUAUGUUGGGACCCGAAAGAUGGUGAACUAUGCCUGAAUAGGGUGAAGCCAGAGGAAACUCUGGUGGAGGCUCGUAGCGAUUCUGACGUGCAAAUCGAUCGUCAAAUUUGGGUAUAGGGGCGAAAGACUAAUCGAACCAUCUAGUAGCUGGU
rnacentral:rRNA from 1 species